rnacentral:rRNA from 1 species
UAUUGCACAAUGGGGGAAACCCUGAUGCAGCGACGCCGCGUGAGUGAAGAAGUAAUUCGUUACGUAAAGCUCUAUCAGCAGGGAAGAAAAUGACGGUACCUGAGUAAGAAGCCCCGGCUAACUACGUGCCAGCAGCCGCGGUAAUACGUAGGGGGCAAGCGUUAUCCGGAUUUACUGGGUGUAAAGGGAGCGUAGACGGUGGGCCAAGUCUGGAGUGAAAUGCCGCAGCUUAACUGCGGAACUGCUUUGGAAACUGGCGGACGAGAGUGCGGGAGGGGUAAGCGGAAUUCCUAGUGUAGCGGUGAGAUGCGUAGAUAUUAGGGGGAACACCGGUGGCGAGGGCGGCUUACUGGACCGUAACUGACGUUGAGGCUCGAAAGCGUGGGGAGCAAACAGG